rnacentral:rRNA from 1 species
CAGUAGCCGCGGGAAUACGGAGGGUGCAAGCGUUAAUUGGAAUUACUGGGCGUAAAGCGCACGCAGGCGGUCUGACAAGUCAGAUGUGAAAUCCCCGGGCUUAACCUGGGAACUGCAUUUGAAACUGUCAGGCUGGAGUCUUGUAGAGGGGGGUAGAAUUCCAGGUGUAGCGGUGAAAUGCGUAGAGAUCUGGAGGAAUACCGGUGGCGAAGGCGGCCCCCUGGACAAAGACUGACGCUCAGGUGCGAAAGCGUGGGGAGCAAACAGGAUUAGAUACCCCAGUAGUCCCUGUCUCUUAUAC